rnacentral:misc_RNA from 1 species
AAGUCGUAACAAGGUCUCCGUAGGUGAACCUGCGGAGGGAUCAUUAAACAAAUCAAAUCCACCAUUGGAAAGCAUAACACUAUGUAUUGGUGUUAUUCUUUCCAAGGUCAGCAUAAAGAUCUUUUAGAUUUAUAUGUUGCAUAAGAGUGUAAGGGUUCAAGUAGUAGAUAUCGUAAGAUACUGUUACUUAGUCUUUCACUCUAGAAGAUACAUCUGCAUUUGCAAUAGCAAAUACAUUUGUAUCUUCGAAUACACGAUAUUAAAUUGACAUAAUAAUGACAAAUUAAAUAAUCAACUUUUAACAAUGGAUCUCUUGGCUCUUAC